GAUGAAGAACGUAGUGAAAUGCGAUACGUAAUGUGAAUUGCAAAUUCAGUGAAUCAUCGAGUCUUUGAACGCACAUUGCGCCCCCUGGUAUUCCGGGGGGCAUGCCUGUCCGAGCGUCAUCGCUGCCCUCAAGCACGGCUUGUGUGUUGGGCCCCGUCCUCCGAUCCCGGGGGACGGGCCCGAAAGGCAGCGGCGGCACCGCGUCCGGUCCUCGAGCGUAUGGGGCUUUGUCACCCGCUCUGUAGGCCCGGCCGGCGCUUGCCGAUCAACCCAAAUUUUUAUCCAGGUUGACCUCGGAUCAGGUAGGGAUACCCGCUGAACUUAAGCAUAUCAAUAAGCGGAGGA
rnacentral:misc_RNA from 1 species